CAUGUCUGUGUAGGCUGAGGAGCUUGUUCCCCGAGUGAGGGUGGAGACGUGGUCGCUGGGCGGCGUCCGCCAUUUUGUCUGGUGAAAGUUGGAGAGGGAGGGUCCAGGGACAAGCGAGACUCCCACCUCUGGCCUCAUCCUCAGCCCUGCGUUUUCCCCACUUGUACUGCCAGAAAGCUGAUUGGUGGCAGUCACUUCUGGAGUCUUCCUGAGACGAUCCACCAAUAUGAAGUAAACUCGAGGAGAUUCUUAGGUCAAGACAAAGCAUAAACAAUCAACCCCGACAGAAAAAUCUGAAGAACAAUUACAAGGUGUAACUCAGGAGAUUUUCCCAGGAGGCAAUCCAGAGGAGUUUGAGUUUCGAUCAGCUUGUAGGAUUGAGACAGGAGCAGAAUAUUGCUGGAAAAAAUUCACAAUAAAGACCAGGAUGGCCGUGCGCGGUGGCUCACGCCUGUAAUCCCAGCAUUUUGGGAGGCUGAGGUGGGUGGAUCAUG